rnacentral:rRNA from 1 species
AGAAUCAACGCUGGCGGCGUGCCUAACACAUGCAAGUCGAACGAGAAAGUGGAGCAAUCCAUGAGUAAAGUGGCGCACGGGUGAGUAACACGUGACUAACCUACCUUUUUAGUGGGGGAUAACCUAGGGAAACCUGGGCUAAUACCGCAUAAUACCUACGGGUCAAAGCAGCAAUGCGCUGAAAGAGGGGGUCGCGGUCGAUUAGUUAGUUGGCAGGGUAAUGGCCUACCAAGACUGUGAUCGAUA